GAUGAACGCUAGCUACAGGCUUAACACAUGCAAGUCGCGGGGCAGCAUGGGGGUUGCUUGCAAUCCCCGAUGGCGACCGGCGCACGGGUGAGUAACGCGUAUCCAACCUGCCCUUCACCACGGGAGAACCCGGCGAAAGUCGGACUAAUACCGUAUGUUGUCCAUUGACGGCAUCCGAUUUGGACGAAAGGUUUGGCGGUGAAGGAUGGGGAUGCGUCCGAUUAGCUGGACGGCGGGGUGACGGCCCACCGUGGCGACGAUCGGUAGGGGUUCUGAGAGGAAGGUCCCCCAAACUGGAACUGAGACACGGUCCAGACUCCUACGGGAGGCAGCAGUGAGGAAUAUUGGUCAAUGGGCGUAAGCCUGAACCAGCCAAGUAGCGUGCAGGAUGACGGCCCUAUGGGUUGUAAACUGCUUUUAUGCGGGGAUAAAGUGGCCCACGUGUGGGUUUUUGCAGGUACCGCAUGAAUAAGGACCGGCUAAUUCCGUG
rnacentral:rRNA from 1 species